GUACACUCCUGCGGGAGGCAGCAGUGGGGAAUAUUGGACAAUGGGCGCAAGCCUGAUCCAGCCAUGCCGCGUGAGUGAUGAAGGCCCUAGGGUUGUAAAGCUCUUUCACCGGUGAAGAUAAUGACGGUAACCGGAGAAGAAGCCCCGGCUAACUUCGUGCCAGCAGCCGCGGUAAUACGAAGGGGGCUAGCGUUGUUCGGAUUUACUGGGCGUAAAGCGCACGUAGGCGGACUAUUAAGUCAGGGGUGAAAUCCCGGGGCUCAACCCCGGAACUGCCUUUGAUACUGGUAGUCUUGAGUUCGAGGGAGGUGAGUGGAAUUCCGAGUGUAGAGGUGAAAUUCGUAGAUAUUCGGAGGAACACCAGUGGCGAAGGCGGCUCACUGGCUCGAUACUGACGCUGAGGUGCGAAAGCGUGGGGAGCAAACAGGAUUAGAAACCCGUGUAGUCC
rnacentral:rRNA from 1 species